rnacentral:lncRNA from 1 species
GGGUGCUUCUUUUAAGCAAAAGAACUGAUUUUUGAUUCUAUAUAUUUCUUGUCAGAAAUGCUUCUCUGGCCUCCAUGGGAUGAAAAGGAUGAAAAAUUAUCCAAGAUACCACAAAAAUAAACAGAUUAAAAAAAGAAUGAGUACAAGCCAGAUGGGAUUUUUAAAGAGUCAGCUGAAGGAAGCUCUAGGCCAUAGCUGACUUUUGCUAUAUUCUGGGAAGGAACUGUCCUCGCCAGAGCUACAGGGAUACUAGUGUGUUUGACCAGAACCACACUGCUCCUUUUAGAGGCUAUCAGCUCUGUUUGGAAUACCCUCUGGAAAGCAGCAGGAGCUGGACAACACCAGCUUCUCACAGGUGUUAUGGAACAUCCUUGGCUGGCAUAUGAACUGCAGCUCCUUAGAGGAGGGGGACGCUGCAGAUCAGCUGAGAGGCAGCAUCUGGCCACUGCAAUGAUAGCACCACGUGGAUCAUUUCCUGUCAUUUACAACAUGGAUCUGUCCACUUGUGUCUGAAGUAACACUUCGUGUCUUUCUCUCCAGGAAACAGUAACUCUUCUUCCUCACCUACUGUUAUAAAGCAGAAAUGAUCAGUGGAUAUGGUUUCCAGCUCUAGAACCAAUCACCAUUAGAAAAACCUUGGAAAGCAUGCAGAUGAUGUUCAGGGAGACCAAGUUAGAAAUGGUAACAAGAUAAUCUUAAUGCAAAGAUAGGAACCAUCUUUCUUGUCUUACCUCAGCCCUGAAACCUGAUCCUCUUUCAUUCUAGUAAAUGGAAGCAUCCACAGGAAUUUAAGGGAAAAGAACCAAGACCCUUUUGCCCACAAUAAAGAAAGGAUUUUUUGUGUAUUCUUGCCUGAGCAACAUAUUGACAUAGAUGCUGCAUUUCUGUGAUUUUGUUGCUCAGCACAGGUCAUGUGAAAAACACAUUCUUACUUCUUCCUUUUGUGAGGAACAAACAUACACAAGUGCACCUUUGUAAUCAAGACUAUGAAACGAGGGCAGGCAGUGCACCUGUGGAAAGUUUCAGUAGGUGAUGGUUUAAGACAUUCAUAAUACUCUCCCAUAGGCGGAUGUUAAUUUUUCUUUCCAGCUGAGGGAAAAAAGGUGGGAGUCACCCAGCUAAAUCUGUCGAAUGAGAGAGAAUCUUAGUAUAAAUAGGUCUUGCUCUAAAAAUGUCUCCAUUGACUGUAAGGGGCACCCAGGUCUCUUGUCACAGAUGUCAGUUAAAUGAAUUCCACUCUGUAUGUGAAAAUGGGGUAAUUA